GAGUUUGAUCAUGGCUCAGAUUGAACGCUGGCGGCAGGCCUAACACAUGCAAGUCGAGCGGAUGACAGGAGCUUGCUCCUGAAUUCAGCGGCGGACGGGUGAGUAAUGCCUAGGAAUCUGCCUGGUAGUGGGGGACAACGUUUCGAAAGGAACGCUAAUACCGCAUACGUCCUACGGGAGAAAGCAGGGGACCUUCGGGCCUUGCGCUAUCAGAUGAGCCUAGGUCGGAUUAGCUAGUUGGUGAGGUAAUGGCUCACCGAGGCGACGAUCCGUAACUGGUCUGAGAGGAUGAUCAGUCACACUGGAACUGAGACACGGUCCAGACUCCUACGGGAGGCAGCAGUGGGGAAUAUUGGACAAUGGGCGAAAGCCUGAUCCAGCCAUGCCGCGUGUGUGAAGAAGGUCUUCGGAUUGUAAAGCACUUUAAGUUGGGAGGAAGGGCAUUAACCUAAUACGUUAGUGUUUUGACGUUACCGACAGAAUAAGCACCGGCUAACUCUGUGCCAGCAGCCGCGGUAAUACAGAGGGUGCAAGCGUUAAUCGGAAUUACUGGGCGUAAAGCGCGCGUAGGUGGU
rnacentral:rRNA from 1 species